rnacentral:rRNA from 1 species
GACGAACGCUGGCGGCAUGCCUAAUACAUGCAAGUUGAACGAUGAUAUUCUCUGCUUGCAGCGAGUUGAAGAGUAGCGAACGGGUGAGUAACACGUGGGGCACCUGCUCAUGAGAGGGGGAUAACAUUCGGACACGGAUGCUAAUACCGUAUAAUGCUUUGGACCGCCUGGUCCAGAGACAAAAGACGGCUUUUGUUGUCACUUGUGGGUGGCCCCGCGCCGUAUUAGCUAGUUGGUGGGGUAAUGGCUUACCAAGGAUGUGAUGGGUAGCCGGCAUGAGAGGGUGACCGGCCACAUUGGGACUGAGGGACGGCGCAGAAUGAUACGGGAGGCAGCAGUGGGGAAUAUUGGACAAUGGGCGGAAGCAUGAUGCAGCAACGCCGAGUGCGGAAUGAUGGCAUUUGGGUUAUAAACAGAUUUCGCCUGUGACGAAGCGUGAGUGACGGUAAUGGGUAAAGAAGCCCCGGCUAACUACGUG